rnacentral:tRNA from 1 species
GGCAUUUACACAGAAUCGUGUACAGGGUCGUUGACUUUUAAUCAAUUGGUCGCAGGUUCGAAUCCUGCACGACCCACCA